UAAUAAGUGUUUUAUGGCACUUUUUAAAUCCAUAUCCACCUUGUGUGCAAUGUCAGUCGAUCUUCUUCACGGAGAUCGAUCAAACAUCAACCUUUAUCUUUUAACUCUUUGUCUGAAAAAUAUUAUGAAUAAACAAUUCAAAAUA
rnacentral:misc_RNA from 1 species